AGAAACCAACAGGGAUUGCCUCAGUAACGGCGAGUGAAGCGGCAACAGCUCAAAUUUGAAAUCUGGCGCCUUCGGCGUCCGAGUUGUAAUUUGGAGAGGAUGUUUCGGGUACCGCCUCGACGUAAGUUUCUUGGAACAGAACGUCAGAGAGGGUGAGAAUCCCGUCCGGCGUCGGCGGUAGGACCCAUGUGAAACUCCUUCGACGAGUCGAGUUGUUUGGGAAUGCAGCUCAAAACGGGAGGUAAAUUUCUUCUAAAGCUAAAUAUUGGCCAGAGACCGAUAGCGCACAAGUAGAGUGAUCGAAAGAUGAAAAGCACUUUGAAAAGAGAGUUAAACAGUAUGUGAAAUUGUUGAAAGGGAAGCGCUUGCAACCAGACUCGAGCGCGACGGUUCCCCCUGGCUUCUGCUUGGGUUACUCCGUCGUGUCCGGGCCAGCAUCGGUUCUGCGGGUCGGUUAAAGGCUCCGGGAAUGUAUCUUGUCCUUCGGGUCAAGACUUAUAGCCCGGGGUGUCAUGCGACCUCGCGGGACCGAGGAACGCGCUUCGGCGAGGAUGCUGGCGUAAUGGUUGUAAGCGACC
rnacentral:rRNA from 1 species